rnacentral:rRNA from 1 species
GACGAACGCUGGCGGCGUGCCUAAUACAUGCAAGUAGGACACAGUUGCGAACGGGUGAGUAACGCGUAGGUAACUGCCUAUUAGAGGGGGAUAACUAUUGGAAACGAUAGCUAAUACCGCAUACUAGUAGAUGGACCUGCGUUGUAUUAGCUAGUAGGUAGGGUAAUGGCCUAACAAGGCGACGAUGCAUAGCCGACCUGAGAGGGUGUUCGGCAAGAUGGGGACUGAGACACGGCCCAGACGCCUACGGGAGGAAGCAGUAGGGAAUCUUCGGCAAGGGGGGGAACCCUGACCGAGCAACGCCGGGUGAGUGAAGAAGGUUUUCGGAUCGUAAAACUCUGUUGUUAGAGAAGCGGUAUCUAACCAGAAAGCCACGGCUAACUACGUGCCAGCAGCCGCGGUAAUAC